rnacentral:rRNA from 1 species
AACGAACGCUGGCGGCAGGCCUAACACAUGCAAGUCGAGCGGGGACUUCGGUCCUAGCGGCGGACGGGUGAGUAACGCGUGGGAACGUGCCCUUUGCUUCGGAAUAGCCCUGGGAAACUGGGAGUAAUACCGGAUGAGCCCUUUGGGGGAAAGAUUUAUCGGCGAAGGAUCGGCCCGCGUUGGAUUAGGUAGUUGGUGGGGUAAUGGCCUACCAAGCCGACGAUCCAUAGCUGGUUUGAGAGGAUGAUCAGCCACACUGGGACUGAGACACGGCCCAGACUCCUACGGGAGGCAGCAGUGGGGAAUACUAGACAAGGGGGGAAACCCUGAUCUAGCCAUGCCGCGUGAGAGAUGAAGGCCUUAGGGUUGUAAAGCUCUUUCAGCUGGGAAGAUAAUGACGGUACCAGCAGAAGAAGCCCCGGCUAACUCCGUG